AUUGAACGCUGGCGGCAUGCUUUACACAUGCAAGUCGAACGGCAGCGCGGGCUUCGGCCUGGCGGCGAGUGGCGAACGGGUGAGUAAUACAUCGGAACGUGCCCAGUAGUGGGGAAUAGCUCGGCGAAAGCCGGAUUAAUACCGCAUACGACCUGAGGGUGAAAGCGGGGGAUCUUCGGACCUCGCGCUAUUGGAGCGGCCGAUGGCAGAUUAGCUAGUUGGUGGGGUAAAGGCCUACCAAGGCGACGAUCUGUAGCUGGUCUGAGAGGACGACCAGCCACACUGGGACUGAGACACGGCCCAGACUCCUACGGGAGGCAGCAGUGGGGAAUUUUGGACAAUGGGCGAAAGCCUGAUCCAGCAAUGCCGCGUGUGUGAUGAAGGCCUUCGGGUUGUAAAGCACUUUUGGCGGGAACGAAAAGGACUGUGCCAAUACCACGGUUCGAUGACGGUACCCGCAGAAUAAGCACCGGCUAACUACGUG
rnacentral:rRNA from 1 species